rnacentral:rRNA from 1 species
AUCCUCUGACACCCUAGAGAUAGGGCGUUUUCCUUCGGGGGAACAGAGUGACAGGUGGUGCAUGGUUGUCGUCAGCUCGUGUCGUGAGAUGUUGGGUUAAGUCCCGCAACGAGCGCAACCCUUGAUCUUAGUUGCCAGCAUUCAGUUGGGCACUCUAAGGUGACUGCCGGUGACAAACCGGAGGAAGGUGGGGAUGACGUCAAAUCAUCAUGCCCCUUAUGACCUGGGCUACACACGUGCUACAAUGGAUGGAACAAAGGGUCGCGAAGCCGCGAGGUCGAGCCAAUCCCAUAAAUCCAUUCUCAGUUCGGAUUGCAGGCUGCAACUCGCCUGCAUGAA